GAAUUCAAUGAUAUCUCACAUCUAUAUGUUUUGUUCUUGCAUGGUAUAUGGAGUUCUUGCUCAAGUCUAUUGCACUUUGACUAUCACAAUAGAUGACAUACUCCUUUUGAUGUAAUUUCAGCUCUUGAAGAAACCGCUUUACCCAUACCAUCUCCUUGCUAGCUUCUGUAGUGGCAAUAUACUCCACUUCAGUUGUAGAGAGUGCAACACACUUCUGCAACUUCGACUUCCAUGAGAUAGCUCCCCCUGAAAAUGUGAACAGGUAUCCCGUAGUAGAUUUACGAUUAUCAAGAUCACCUGCCAUAUCAGCAUCCAUGUAGCCCUUAAAGAUUGAAUAAGAUCCUCCAAAACACAAGCAAUCUCCUACAGUACCUCUUAGGUACCUGAGUAACCACUUGACUGCUUCCCAAUGUUCCUUUCCAGGAUUUUCAAGGAAUCUACUAACAACACCGGCUGCAUGAGCAAUAUCUGGUCGAGUGCAUACCAUUGCAUACAUCAAACUUCCGACGGCAGAGGAAUAGGGCCAUUCUCUCUUUUUCCUCCAUUGUUGUAGAACACAUCUUCUUGCUCAACUUCAGAUGACCAGGAAGGAGUGUGCG
rnacentral:lncRNA from 1 species